AUAAGCCAGGGGAAGAGAGGACGCUGCUCACUUUGCCCACGCACGGGUGCAAAACCUGGAGCUGCUGCCAGCUCCCACUCAUGAGCAUCUCAAAACUCCAAAAUCUGUGCUGCAGUGCAAGAGGUGCAGAGCCAGCUCCCCUAAGAGUUUGGGGGGUGCUGAGCUGUCCCUGUCAGUGUUGCUGGUGUAGCUGUCUCUACCCUAUGGAUCAGCUGCCUGCUGACAACUUACAAGGGAGAAGGAAGACAAGUUUUUAGCACGUCUUCCACCCGCAGACCUUCUUCAUGAAACAACUCUGCAGAGAAAUCCUUAUGACAUCUAAAUGCAGGUUUCAGCAUCUUUGUUUCAUACAGUUGUAUUAAGUGAUACUGGAAGUACCUCAUCUGCUUACUCCCGAUUUUGUUGCCAGCCUCAUCCAAAGACUGUUUAUCAAUCCUCCAGGUGUUGGUCUGAAGUCCUCAGCACUCAUACAGUGCAUCCUGAUGGGAGUCAGUCCCAGGAUCCUAAAGGGCUUGGUCACUGCAACCAUUCCUAGGCCAUGGACAAGAGUUUACCUUGUUGCCAUCAUCUUGAUCCUCACAGAAACACAAUGAAAUCUUUCGUGUCUUUAAGCGAUCAAAACACCUCUCCACGGAAAAGGUUGUGGAACCAUGGAAUCAUUGAGGGUAGAAAAGACCUCUAAAAUCAUCAAGACUAAUUAGUGCUGCAUCCAGAGACAGAAAACUCACGUGACUAAGCUGAGAUAGUCAGGUUGGCACUGGGUGUUGAACGUCUAAGCUCUGAGACAAUACUAAUUCUUCAUGUUUUUCCUUAAGCUGUUUACAUCAAUAUUUUCAUAAAUUAUGCAUCUAUUGAGCAACAUACUGAUUUAACUUGUCUGGAGAAAGACAGAUCUGUGUUUGUGGAAAACUCCUAUUAUAGUCUUCUUUUAAUUAUUCCUCAAAUCCUCUCCUGUCACCACAGAAAUAAUUUGUAGUUGUUCGAGGAGUUUAAGGUCAAAACACCACAAAGCCACUCAGUCCUAAUUCAUUCUCUAGACUAUACUUUUAACCUUUUUCUUUUGCUUCUACUACUCAAAUUCAGAUGAGUUUUAAAGCAAUGAUGUGGUCUUCUCUCUGUGGCACAAUAUAAUUGUAUUGAAGCCAAAGCACAGAAGCCCUCAAUGAGAUUAAAUUCAGUUCUUCAUUUAAUCAAUUUCACAUGGAAUAGAUUUUUACCAUCUUUCCUCUUUCUACUCUCUUCAGGAACACCACUGACACAAACACGUCAUGUAAAGGCACAGGAAUGAGUUUUGAAACCCCAGCAAUAUUUUUAAAGAGAAGACUGAACAAAAAAAUAAAUUGUUUGCAAUUGCCAUUUCAUUUGCUCCCUCACAAUGAGGUAAAAAUAGUAACAUUUAAAACUUCAAUUAUAGAAUCACAGAAUGGCCUCGUUUGGAAGAGACUUUAACUAUCAUCCACUUACACCUCCUGUGCCAUGGGCAGGGACACCUUCCACUAGACCAGGUUGCUCAGAGCUCCCUCCAACCCAGCCUUGAACACUUCCGGGGUCGGAAGCAAACACAGCUUCUCCAGGAAAUAUGUUCCAGCAUCCUCAUCAUCCUCCCAGCAAAGAAUUUUUUCCUCCCUACAGGCACUGGAAGGCCUCAGGUGCUAAUAGCUAUCCUUUAUUUACUGACUGUGCCCAUUUCACUGAAGCCUGGGUACAUUUAUUGGAUAGUGCAAAACUAACAAAAGUUGCAAGUUUAUAUAUGUUCCAGUCCACCUUCCCACCCAAAAAUAUCAAGCUCCUUGAAGGUAAUCCAUUAAUUUAUUAGCAAUGUUAGUAUUUCAACUACUGCAGGAUUGUAAUUCCUAACAGAAAUUGGAAGUAUAACCAACUUGCUAUUCAUAUAUGGUGUGAUUACCUUUAAAAGAAAUAUUGCAAUAAAACCUACACACAGUACCACUAACAAUAAUAAGUGUCAAAGUGGAAAAAAAAAAAUCAUCUGAUUUAGGAGUGCUAAUGUGGGUAAUGGAUCAUCAUCUACAACAAACAAUAGCUAGCAAAAUAAGUUUAAUUUUAUGACCUUCAUCCAUAAGACAUCAUCAAAUAAUCACCAAAACUUUUCAGGUUUGACCAUAAGACAAUAUUCAUUUUUAUGGAAAAAAAUCUAGCGGAAAAAAAGGGUUUAUAACUGGCAUGCAGCUAUUUUAAAAACCAAGAGCUCAGCAGCAGUCAGCUGUUGCAGCCUCGGGGUGGUCUGUAUUCAUGAUUUCUGCAAUGGAGACAAAAGUUUCAUCUUUACACACAAAGCAUGACAUUUUUGCAGAUUACACAAAACUGAGGAAGUGGCUGAUUCACCAGAGGGUUGUGCUGCCAUCCAGAAGGACCUCAACAGGCUGGAGAAACAUGCUGACAGGAACUGUAUGAAUGGGAAAUGCAAAGUCCUGGGGAGGAAUAAAAUCCCAUGCACCUGUACUGACCAGCUGGAAACCAGAUAUCUUAAGAAGGUCCUGGGGGUCCUAGUGGACACCAACCCAAGCAGUGCAAUCUUGGAGCAAAAAAGGACAAACAAAGAAGGACAAAACUCCUGAGCAGCUAGGCAGAGGGUAGAGAUCCUUCCCCUCUGCUCAGCUCUGGUGAGAGAUACCUGGAGUUCUGGGUCGAGUACAAGACAAAUUCUGGAGCGAGUCCAGGGAAAGACCAGAAUGAUUAAGGCACCAGAGCAUCUAUCCUACAAGGAAAGGCUGAGAGACCUGUGACUGUCCAGCCUGGAGCAGAAAAGGUUCAGGGGAUCUGAUCCACGUGUGUUCAUACCAGAAGGGGGCAAAAACGAAGAGGCAGCCAGGCUCUUGUUAGUGGUAUCCAGUGACAGGACAAGAAAACAUGGACAUUAAACUAAAAUAGAAGCAAUUUCACCUAAGCACAAGAAAGCACUUUCCUCCUGUGAAGGUGGUCAGACACCGGUAGAGGCUACUAGAGAAGUUGUAGAGCCUCCACCUCUGGAGAUGCUCAAAACCCAAUGAGAUAUAGCCCAGAGCAACUUGCUCUGAGCAAGUGGUUAGAUUGUGUGAUCUCCAGAGGUGCCUUCCCGCCUCAAAAAAAAAAAAAAAAAAAAAAAUCACACAUUAAAUGGUCAUCUAUCUCAGUUUACUCUUUUUCCUGCCCUGACAAUAGUCACCAACUAAAGUAAAAUAAACACACAGGCACACACCACCACCACCCAGAAAAAAACCCCACCAAAACAAAGCAAUAAAAACAACAACAAAACCACAACCCAACCAAACAAAAAACCCCAACUAAAACGAAGGUAAAAUCCACUGAAAUUCAAGGAAUCUUAUCUCAAGUAGAUGAACUUUUCUAUUCAAGGACUGUAACUACUGUGCCAGGACAAUUAGUCCCCUGAUCAUUUACACCUUUGAAAAGCCAUGUAAGCAAGCAAAAGGUAUUUUCACUACUGAACAAAACCAGUAUUUUUUUUCUUUCCGUUUACUACAAUUCUGGUAUUUGAUCCAACUCAAGAAGAAAAACAUUUACAGAAGAUCUCUCUCUUAGCACUUUGAAGGAAGAAUGAACACUAUUAGCAGCUAAACAUAAGCCAUAAAACCCACCCAGACAUCUAAUAAAGUAAGAAGACUGUUCUUGCUGUACACAUCGCUUUCCUUGGGAACUUCACUUACUGAAGCCUACUAUAAAACAGACCUAAUACCCAAAAUUAGCCAACUGAGAAUUACUUUUUCCCAAAGCAAUAAAUUGGUUUUUUACUCAAAAGCAGAGAAAGAGUCGUUCAUGGUUUGAACCUCAACUCUUUAAUAUUUUCCUGUUUGCUUGGUGGGUUUUUUUUUUUUAUUAUUCUUGCUUUCUGUUUGAUGGCAAAGGUUGCAGAUUCAGAUCCAUCGAUGUGUUGAUAUUAGUAAGAAUUUCUAGCUGAUCCAAAACAAUAUUUCUCAAUAAUGACAACACAAACAAAAAAACAUGCUCAACCUAACUGACUUGUUUCCAAAAUAUUGGCAUCUAAAAGCAUGGUUUAAAAAAGAUGAAAUUAAAGACUUUUACCUGCCAUCAAAAGCAGUUUAGCCAUCUGAAGAGAGCAAAAGUAGUCCAAACCCCAUCAACACCACCCUAGGUGGUAUGUUUGUACACUGCCUGCAAAUACACAGCAUGGAGUAAGAUUCUUUAGGCAAUCCAGGAUUAUUCACUUGUUACAUAUAAAAAUCCUCUCCUUCUUGUAAUAGAGCAUUGCUAAAAAUAUUGAUCGCUGCAAAUACCAAACACUUAUAAUAAUAUGCUGUACUGAGUAAGCAAUCUCAUCACAGCAAAAGCAAUGAUAAUAAUAUAUUUACUCUUUCAGAGGUAUCAUCUUAAGUCAUCUAGAAAACUUCAUCUUCAAGAUCUAUGUUGUUAUCAGUAUACAACAAAGACAAAAAACCCCUAAAAAUGCAGAGCAUUGCAGCAAACAGGUGGAAGGUGCAUUUGACAGAAGAAAUAUUGGCUGUUCCUGUGUCUGGAAAUGCAUUCAAUAAUCUUGCUUGAUGAUUAACACAUCCCAUGUGUGAAAGCCUGCAUAAAAGACCAAGCAACAGCUGUAAUUUACUGAAGGAGGUAGGACAGCUCAGCAGUAGAAGCCAUCCAAGUUGUAAAAUGACAGUGUACUAGUAGUUGCCAUCCAUUUAAUUACAGUUUAAACUUUCCAAUAUGACAUAGUAAUAAAUUGAAAAAUGCUUCAUUACUGGCUAUUUUUUUCUUUUAGACAGAUGUUGUACAUGGUAUAUUGUGGACCUUUUCCAUCUCUUCCUUUCUGGCUGGUUAUUGCCUGGCUAACAGGAUGUUUCAUUUUAAUGAAAAAUACAUUACUGCAUUAAGAUAAGGUCAUCAGUUCUUAAGUUAAAUGCAAUUUCUGUAAUAAAACUAAUUGCAUAACCUACAUAAAAAUUUUUUAUGUGGGUUAAACACUUUUAAUUACUACCUAAAUUUUGUUCAACAUUUAAAUGGGGUAUUCACCUAUAAAAAGAAUGCAUACACUGUGAAAUGCCUCUACAGUUCUUUACAGCAUGCCUUCUGUAUGUUCUACUGUAAUACAUAAUGUUGUCAGCACUGUUAAAUUCAACUCUUGAGCAAGGCUGAAGGGAAAGAGGCAAAGAAAAAAAAAAAAAACCUACCAGUCUAUGAAGUGCAAAAACUGGCUUUGAAGCUGCACCCGAUUGCUCAGUGCCAUGUCCAGUUGGCUUUGAGGUAUUUUUAAGGAUGGAAACCUCACAAUCUGUCCAAGUAUGCUCAAAUACAACUUUAUAGAGUAGAGAAUCAUAGAAUAUCCUGAGUUGGAUGGGAACCACCAAAGGAUCACCAAAGUCCAACUCCUGGCCCAGCUCAGGACCCAGAAUCACCAUGUGUGGUUAUUUGUAAACCCUGUUCUGUCCCACAUAAAUAAUUAUUUAAUAUAAUGUCAUGGAUUAGCAAAACAUAGUCCCAGAAGUGAUGUUCUUGCAAAGGGGUGCUUACAGCUCCUCCGUGACCUGACAGAACCUAUCAGCUGGCC